rnacentral:tRNA from 1 species
GAGAGAUUAGCUCAUGUGGAUAGAGCGUCAGCCUCCGGAGCUGAAGGCGGCAGGUUCGAGUCCUGUAUCUCUCA